rnacentral:lncRNA from 1 species
CGCCUUGACACCUUAAUAGCAAGGAAACCCCCCUAUUGCACAAGCAAGUGAAAAUCUGGAGGGUCGGGAACCCCAAUGGGAAACCUUUCACCGCAUCACAUGAUUCUUGAAUAGCCAUAACGAGGAAUUCUACCAUACUUCGUGCGCUAUGGUUGUUGAUCCUGUAGAGUCUACCCACAUGUACAACUCUAAAUCACAUCCUCCUUUCUCAAGUAACUGGAGAAGGAGAAAAAACAAGAAUUAUUUGAUGAAACGUCAAGCUACAUGAACUAGGCAGGCGUAUUCGCAAUGGUACGUCUAUUUUAUCUUUAGCAUUUUCAAAUAAAAAAUGACUCAUAUUUCAAAAGACUUAUACAUCUGGGGCUGACAUAUCAAUGUACUGUGAAUGAUAAAAAGGUCUUUUUUCUCACAAUGUAUAAAAAUUUCUGGAGAUGCAAGAUAGUACUUUUUAUUUGUCAUUUUUCAUGAUAAUCUGGAGGUGAUCUCUCGGCUUCACAGUGGCAAUAGACACUAAACCCUGCUCAACAAGAUUUAACUAUGUAAAAGAAUUAGUACACAAGCAAAGAGAAAAAACGAAAAAUGAAAAACUACUGAAGAAAAAGAACCAAAAUAACUCACAUUUAACAGAGAACCAAUCAUUUUAAUCAUUGCAGGUACUCCCGACCAAUCUCGAUGAGGAGAUAUAAGCAAUUUAUGACAAGCAAUCCCCUUUCUCAAAUGCUAGACGUGGUUCGAGCAACAGGCAGUUGGAAAUACAUAGUUCAGACAUGGAAGAGGCCAGUCUGAUGGUUCUGCAAGCGAUUGGAGAUUACGUCAAUGAUAUAUAUAUAUGCAGCUCAGCGAUUGAACAACUCCUACAAUGCCAAUGGAUCAACAACUC